rnacentral:miRNA from 1 species
UUUGUUUUGUUUUUUCUUUU